UGCCGGGUCGUCUAAUGGUAGGACACUUGGUUUUGGUCCAAGGUAUUGGGGUUCGAGUCCCUGCCCGGCAGCCA
rnacentral:tRNA from 1 species